rnacentral:rRNA from 1 species
UACGUAGGGUGCGAGCGUUAAUCGGAAUUACUGGGCGUAAAGCGUGCGCAGGCGGCUCCUUAAGUCAGAUGUGAAAGCCCCGGGCUUAACCUGGGAACUGCGUUUGAAACUGGGGAGCUAGAGUGUAGAAGAGGGGGGUGGAAUUCCAGGUGUAGCAGUGAAAUGCGUAGAGAUCUGGAGGAACACCGAUGGCGAAGGCAGCCCCCUGGGCUAACACUGACGCUCAUGCACGAAAGCGUGGGGAGCAAACAGG